rnacentral:lncRNA from 1 species
AAAAAGGAAAGAGAUACUGAUUGAGCGGUGGGCUUUGUUUGGCACGUGCCAAAGUCUCCAGUCUCGUUUUCUUCUGUCUCGACCACUGACCUGCUCUCACCGUGAUCCGUGACCGUGCGUGCAGCUCGCGAAGCUGUACAAGGCCGUGGUGGGCACGGACACGAGCGCGCAGCAGCUCGCUUUCGCGGCGCCCCUCCCCAACGUGCGCUACGUCCACACCGCGCCGGACCUGCCGCUCGACGGGAUCCACGCCGCCGUCGCGGGGCCGGGCACCGCCGACCUCAUCACCGUCGCGCAGGCCUUCCACUGGCUCGACCUCCCGCGCUUCUACGCGCAGGCCCGCUCCGUGCUGCGCCCGGAGCAGGGCGUCCUCGCCGCCUGGUGCUACACGGAGCCACGCGUCAGCGCCGCCGUCGACGCCGUGUUCUGGCGCCUCUACCGCGGCUCGCAGCCGUACUGGGCGCCCAACCGCCGGAUGGUCGACGACGAGUACCGCGGCGCCGACUUCCCCUUCGACCCCGUCGACGGCGAGGCCCACACGGGGCCCUUCGAGUUCUCCACGGAGCGGGCCAUGGACCUGGAUGGCUACCUCACCUACAUCACGUCCUGGUCGGCGUACCAGACGGCCAAGGAGAAGGGCGUCGAGCUGCUCGACGAGGCGACGGUGCAGGAGUUCGCGGCGGCGUGGGGCGGCGAUGGGAAGGAGGUGAAGGCGGUGACGUACCCAAUCUUCCUCAGGAUUGGCAAGGUGAGGGCCGAAUGAUGCACGAAACAAGUUGACGACGGGUGCGAGACGACAGACGACUACUCGGAAUAUAUUUGUGCUGAUAACCUUUCUGUAGAAGGAUUUGUUUUGUAUUGACUGUACUACA